rnacentral:piRNA from 1 species
UCUGUAAUCGAUUUCAGAUUG